rnacentral:rRNA from 1 species
UGCGUAGGUGGUGAGGUAAGUCGGAUGUGAAAUCUCGGAGCUCAACUCCGAAACUGCAUUGGAAACUACCUUGCUCGAGGGUUGGAGGGGGGACUGGAAUACUUGGUGUAGCAGUGAAAUGCGUAGAUAUCAAGUGGAACACCAGUGGCGAAGGCGAGUCCCUGGACAACUCCUGACACUGAGGCACGAAAGCUGGGAGCAAACA